rnacentral:rRNA from 1 species
UACAGAGGGUGCGAGCGUUAAUCGGAAUUACUGGGCGUAAAGCGCGCGUAGGCGGCUUUGCAAGUCGGGUGUGAAAUCCCCAGGCUUAACCUGGGAACUGCAUUCGAGACUGCAUUGCUAGAGUAUGGGAGAGGGAAGUGGAAUUUCCGGUGUAGCGGUGAAAUGCGUAGAUAUGCGGAGGAACACCGAUGGCGAAGGCAAUCCCCUGGGCCUGCACUGACGCUCAUGCACGAAAGCGUGGGGAGCAAACAGG